rnacentral:rRNA from 1 species
GAUGAACGCUGGCGGCGUGCCUAAUACAUGCAAGUCGAGCGAACGGACGAGAAGCUUGCUUCUCUGAUGUUAGCGGCGGACGGGUGAGUAACACGUGGAUAACCUACCUAUAAGACUGGGAUAACUUCGGGAAACCGGAGCUAAUACCGGAUAAUAUUUUGAACCGCAUGGUUCAAGAGUGAAAGACGGUCUUGCUGUCACUUAUAGAUGGAUCCGCGCUGCAUUAGCUAGUUGGUAAGGUAACGGCUUACCAAGGCAACGAUGCAUAGCCGACCUGAGAGGGUGAUCGGCCACACUGGAACUGAGACACGGUCCAGACUCCUACGGGAGGCAGCAGUAGGGAAUCUUCCGCAAAGGGCGAAAGCCUGACGGAGCAACGCCGCGUGAGUGAUGAAGGUCUUCGGAUCGUAAAACUCUAUUAUUAGGGAAGAACAUAUGUGUAAGUAACUGUGCACAUCUUGACGGUACCUAAUCAGAAAGCCACGGCUAACUACGUG